CAGAAAAGAGAAAUCUGUCUACCAAUAGAAAGCACUGGUGAAGCCUUGAGCCUGGUUGCAUUUGGAUCCUCACCUUCUUCCAUGUCUUCCACUGAGCCUCAUCCACAUACUUUAACUGUUAUCAGUAACUACCCUUAUUAAUGAUGAUUCUUGUUACCAUUUAUUGUGAACCUUGUUACCAUUUAUAUGUUGAGCACUGCGCCAACCACAUUGCAUAUAUUUUCUGUAUUAUUAUCACUCCACAAGGAAGUAAGAGCUCAGAGAGGGCACACAGUUCAUAACUGUCAAAGCUAAGAUGGGAACCUUGGUGUACCAGUUAGGGUUCUGGGUUGCAAACAAUAGUUCUGAUCCUGGUUAACAUAACGCAGAAAAGUGAUUUAUUGAAAAGAUAUCAGAGAUCUCACCUCUAUGUGUAUCCUGCCAGAAAUUAUAUAUAUGUAUUUUUCUUUUUAAAAAAGGUAUUAUAUUAUGCUUGAGAAGGAGGCUCAAAACUGAGCAGAGGAACAAAGAGAAGGCUAGGAAGUCAGAUGUUCAGCCCAAGUCAUGCCACUUGCUUGCAAUAGAAAAAGAAAUGGAGACAGUGAAUGGCCACCCAGGGGAGUGGAUGAAUAAAUUACAGUGGAAUUGACUGAAUAUAAUGCAGCCAUUAAUUGAAAUGAAUAAACCUCUCCCUGGUACCUUGGAUAGAUUUUCAUAAGGAAUUGUUGAGUGAGAAAAGCAUGAUGCACAAAAGUAUUUAUACCAGAAGUGAUUGGCUAAGGUGGGAAUGGUGUCAGGGCAGGAGUAUGAGGGUUGAUGAAUCAAACAAAAACAGCAAAGGGAAGAUACACUAUGUGUAUAUGAUUAUAUUUCUGUGUUUCUGUGAAGUUGUGCUUAUGUAUAAUACAUGUAAUAAAUAUUUUUUUUAAAUGCUAAAGGAAUGGUGUAGUUAGGAUUCUGUAACUGCUGCUACUGCCAUGAUCAACAUGAGGUCUCUGCAUCUGUACUUUCUCUGCAUUUUUUGCUCCAGAAGGAGAACAUCUAAGAUAGAGAGCAUUGGACUGGGUCUGGGUGAGUGUAUUGGUCAGCUCAGCUGUGUAACAAAACACCACAGGCUGUGUGGCUUCAACAACAGAUAUUUACUUCUCAUAGUUCUGCAGGCUAGAAGUCCAAGAUCAAGGUUGGACCAAGUCAGGUUCUAUAAGACCUCCUUUCCUGGCUUACAAACAACUUCCAUCUCAGAGUGUCUUCACAUGACCUCCUCUUUGUGUGUCUGCAGAGAUCUCUCUCUCUCUCUCUUUCCCUUUCUCUCUCCCUUUUCCCCUUCUCACCUUCCCUCCUUCCUUCUUUUUCUUCAUCUUCUUAUAAGGACACUAGUCCUAUUAGAUUUGAGCCUCACUCUUAUGACUUCAUUUAACCUUGAUAAUUACCUCCUAAAGACCCUACCUCCAAAUACUUCAACACCUGAAUUUUGUGGCACACAAUUCAGUCAGUAUCAGUGAACCAGCUUCCUUAUUUAUUUUUUUUCCAUCAUGGGUGUCUAUGCCUGACUUCACUAGACUUAUACAUGCAGUAGCCAAUUCUCCAGACACAGAAAUGGCAGGAUGGAGAAAGACACUUGACAAAUCUGCAAAUGUCUGACUUCAAAACCUAUGCAAACUUAGAUAUAUUUAAAGUCCUAAAUGAGAACAAUCUGCAACCUAGGAUACUCUACCCAGCAAGACUAUCCUUUAGAAUAGGAGAGAUAAAGAAUUUCACAGACAAGCAAAACUAAAAUAAUUCAAUAAUACUAAGCCUAUCCUAAAAGAAAUAUUGAAAGGUCUGUUCUAAAUAGAAAAGAAGCAGGAAGCUAUAGAAAAGAGAAAACCAUAAUUGGAAAUGUGAUAACUACAAUAAGCUGCAAGAGAAUAAGCAUGAAGAUGUAAAAGAGGACAUCAAAAUCAUAAAAGGUGGGAGAGAAGAGCAAGAAAAUGUAGAUUUUCUUCUUGUUCUUUGUAGGUUGUGUUCGAGCCUAUAUGACUACCAGUCUAAAGCAAACAGAUAUAGUAAUGAGUUAAUAUACUUGAAAAAUAGAUUAACUACGAAAUCGAACGCAUACAAUAGGGUCGCAAAAACAAAAACAAACAAAACCAAGCCAAUACAAAAGAAAAUUAUCAAACCAUAAGAAGAAAAAGAAAGGAAAAAAGAAAAAAUACCUAAUCAACUGGAAAACAAAGUUUAAAAUGGCAAUGAACACACAUCUAUCAAUUACUGUAAAUGUCAAUGGACCAAAUGCUCCAAUCAAAAGACACAGAGUGGCAUAUUGGAUAGUAAAACCAGAGCCUACCAUAUUCUGCCUACAAGAGACCCACUUUAGGAUGAAGGACACACAUAGAUUGAAAGUGAGAGUAUGAGAAAAUAUUUCAUGCAAAUGGAAAUUAUAAGAAAGCAGGAGUAGCAAUUCUCAUAUCAGACAAAAUAGAUUUUAAAACAAAGGCCAUAAAGAAAGAUAAAGAAGAACAGUAAAUAAUGAUAAAAGGAGCAAUACAAGAAAAGGAUAUUAUACUCAUUAAUAUAUGCACCCAAUAUGGGAGCACCUAAAUAAAUAAAACAAAUACUAACUGGCAAAAAGGUAGAAAUUGAUUGGAGCACAAUAAUAGUAGGAGACUACAAUCAUUGGACAGAUCUUCCAGACAGAAAACAAUAAGCAACAAAGAUACUAAAUGACUCAAUAGAACAGCUGGACUUGGUUGAUAUUUUUAGGACAUUAUAUCCCAAAAAAGCAGAAUAUACAUUCUUCUCAAGUGCCCAUGGAACAUUCUCUAGGAUAGACAACAUACUCAGACAAAAAAAGAAGCCUCAACAAAUUUAAGAGAAUAGAAAUUAUUUCAAGCGUCUUUUCUGACCACAAUGCCAUGAAACUAGAAAUCAACCACAGAGAAACAAACAAGAAAAAAAUGACUGUGUGGAGAGUAAACAACAUGCUACUAAAACACCGAUGAGUCAAUGAUGAAACCAAAGAAGAAAUUAAAAAAUACUUUGAGAUAAAUGAUAAUGAAAGCACAACCACAAAAAAAAAAAAAAAGAUCUAUGGAAUGCAGCAAAGGCAGUCCUAAGGGGAAAGUUCACAGCAAUGCAGGCCUUCCUCAAACAAGACAAAACAAGAAAAAUCUCAAAUAAACAACCUAACCUACCAUUUAAAAGAAUUAGAAAAAGAAAAACAAACAAA